rnacentral:lncRNA from 1 species
AAAAAUAUACACAAAAUAUAAGAACAAGGAAUUGAACGCAAGUUGUAUUAUUAUCUAAAUAAUAUGACCACCGCUUAGCUACAUUACAACAAUAUAUUAAAAACAGAAUUAGUGAUAUAUAUUAGUUAAUAUUAUAUUUAUAUUGAUCUCAUCUAUCAAAUUCGAUACCCUAAAAAGUCGGAGGCCUGCGCGGUAGCAUUCUUCGCACCCUCAAAGGGCCGGGCCCUGAUAGCUAUGCAGUUCCAUACAUUUCAAACCUUUCCACACAAACAAUUCC